rnacentral:rRNA from 1 species
UACGUAGGGUGCAAGCGUUAAUCGGAAUACUGGGCGUAAAGCGUGCGCAGGCGGUUCUAUAAGACAGAUGUGAAAUCCCCCGGGCUCAACCUGGGAACUGCAUUUGUGACUGUAGAGCUGGAGUACGGCAGAGGGGGAUGGAAUUCCGCGUGUAGCAGUGAAAUGCGUAGAUAUGCGGAGGAACACCGAUGGCGAAGGCAAUCCCCCUGGGCCUGUACUGACGCUCAUGCACGAAGCGU